rnacentral:rRNA from 1 species
CUACGGGUCGCACCAGGGAAGAAUGUUGUACAAUGGGGGCAACCCUGAUACAGCAACGCCGCGUGAAGGAAGAAGGCCUUCGGGUUGUAAACUUCUGUGACAGAGGACGAAGAAGAUGACGGUACUCUGAGAGGAAGCUCCGGCAAACUACGUGCCAGCAGCCGCGGUAAUACGUAGGGGGCGAGCGUUGUCCGGAAUCACUGGGCGUAAAGGGCGCGUAGGCGGCCCUGUUAAGUUGAAUGUGAAAUCCCAGGGCUCAACCCUGGACGUGCAUUCAAAACUGGCGGGCUUGAGUAUGGUAGAGGAAAGUGGAAUUCCUAGUGUAGCGGUGGAAUGCGUAGAUAUUAGGAGGAACACCAGUGGCGAAGGCGACUUUCUGGGCCAAAACUGACGCUGAGGCGCGAAAGCGUGGGGAGCAAACAGGAUUAGAUACCCCCGUAGUC